GCCUGUAAGAAAUCACCCUCAAAACAACUCCCUUCAGUAGAGCUGAUUUUUAUUGUUGCCUUUAAAGCAGGAAGUGUGCUUGGAGUGAAUUGAUUGCAUUUCCUGUUUUGCUGAGCAUUCUUUGGCAGCUGAACAGUGAUACCGUUCUUAUCCCCCCCAACACCCCUCCUGCUAAGUUGUGAGGCAGACCAGAGACAUAUUAUUGCCACAGCCUAUGAAUAUCAAUAAGUUACUGCAUGUAAAACAGUGUCAGUACUGUAACAGUGCAAGCUGAAGCAACAGAAGAGGAAGAAAGACACACAGUUCCACAAGAGUUCUUCUUCUACUGGGUCAAGUUCCCUACAGUCAUAAGGUUUGCUGAGAGUCGAGCACUUCUCCAAUCAUCUCUUGGAAAAGGGAAGUGCAAGAGCACAGUAGAGGUCAUGGCUGGUAUUCUCAUGAUUCAGCCUCACCUUUAUCAAAAACCAUCUGUGGAAUUUGGCCAUGUAUUUCUGCCCUGCUCCCAUAUGGAAAGCAUCUCACUACAUCAGCUAAACCUGACUUA
ensembl:lncRNA